AUUGAACGCUGGCGGCAGGCCUAACACAUGCAAGUCGAACGAGUGGCGGACGGGUGAGUAAGGUCUGGGAAACUGCCUGAUGGAGGGGGAUAACUACUGGAAACGGUAGCUAAUACCGCAUACAAUCAGAUGUGCCCAGAUGGGAUUAGCUAGUUGGUGGGGUAACGGCUGACGAAGGCGACGAUCCCUAGCUGGUCUGAGAGGAUGACCAGCCAAACUAGAACUGUGACAAGGUCCAGACGCCUAGGGUAUGCAGCAGUAGGGAAUAUUGCACGAGGGGCGCAAGCCUGAUGCAGCCAUGCCGGGUGUAUGAAGAGGGCCUUCGGGUUGUAAAGUACUUUCAGCGGGGAGGCGUUACCCGCAGAAGAAGCACCGGCUAACUCCGUGCCAGCAGCCGCGGUAAUAC
rnacentral:rRNA from 1 species